rnacentral:rRNA from 1 species
UACGUAGGGGGCGAGCGUUGUCCGGAUUUAUUGGGCGUAAAGAGCUCGUAGGCGGUUUGGUAAGUUGGAUGUGAAAUCUCCAGGCUCAACUUGGAGGGGUCAUCCGAUACUGCCAUGACUAGAGUUCGGUAGGGGAGUGUGGAAUUCCUGGUGGAGCGGUGAAAUGCGCAGAUAUCGGGAAGAACACCCGUGGCGAAGGCGGUUCUCUGGGACGGUACUGACGCUGAGACGCGAAAGCGUGGGGAGCGAACAGG